CAACAGCGCAUGUUAAAGCUGUUGCGGUCAAAAAGCUCGCAGUUGGGUUUCUGUCUAGGGCGGCCGGUGCCCACUGCGCGAAGCAUCUGGUUCAGUCUGGACAUCCUCGUGGGGUCGUUCCUGUGCUUGAUUGCAUGGGGCGGGGUUCAGGGCUUUUGCUUUGAGGAAAUCAGAGCGCUCACGGCUAGCUUUCGCUUUGAGCGCAUUAGCAUGGGAUGGUGUUAAUAAUGUAGGGCGCGAGUUCUGCUUUUUGGGUUUCUAGAACAUGCGCAGUGAUUAACAGCGAUAGUUGGGGGCGCUCGUAUUAACACGUCAGAGGUGGAAUUCUUAGACUGCGUUACGACGAACUGCUGCGGGUCGCCCGUCCUGGUGCCGUGCGGGUCGCGGUCGUAUGCGCUCCGAUCAGGUUUGGGGGCGUAGAUCGUCGCUUCCCAAGGACGUUCUGAUUGAUCAAGAACGAAAGCAUGGGGAUCGAAGACGA
rnacentral:rRNA from 1 species